UGGUGGGGCUCGGCUGGGCGAGACCAUCCACGAGGAUCCGGCGGGGAGGGCGGGCUGUACCAUCCGCGGGAGGAGCUUCGGGUCCUCUUCGCGCGCCCGGGCGCCGCGGGGCCCGGCCAUCUCCGGGCUGCCCUCGGAGGCCGGGCCGCGCGGGCGUUUGGCGCCCAGCCCCCUACUCUGCGCGGCGCCCUCUUUGUGUACAGGCCCGCGGCAGCCCCCCGCUUUCUUCCCCGCGGAUGCGCACGUGCGUCCCGAGCGCGGCGGCUGUGCCCAGAGACCCGCCUGACCCCGGGCGGCCUUAGCCCUGGUCCGGGCUCCAGCCACCGCAACACGCUCGCCUCUGGUCUCGCGCUCUGCCCUCAGGCACUGUCCCCCGCUGAUCCACGCAAGGCCCCGUCUGCAGGUGAAGUGGCCUCCCUUGGAGCGACCCGAAAAGUGUGGUCCGUAUUUCAAGGUGGACUUUAAAAGGCGGUGCUGCCUUGCGCCCGCGGGCCCCGCCGGUGGCCGUGCGCUCCUAGACGUUAAGGGAAGGGCAGGCCUUCCCUAGUGCAGAGGCACGGGGCUUGGCCGACUGUCCAUUUUUGCAGAAACCUUCCUCCUGUGUGGGAUCGCUGUCUGGAGAAGGGCUCCCGCGCUGCUCCGGGAAGAAGCCGAACCAGGACGGGAACACGUGGCUGGAAGGUGCCUGGGAAUUUUAAGGCAGGGACAGCAGAGCAUUAUACGACGAAGCUCGGGCCCAACCGUCUUCCCUGGUCACAGGCGCGGUGCAGCCGCCCUGGCCUCCCUGGCCUCAUCCUAGUGCUGGCCCAGGGCUGAAGCUUUCACCUGGUUCCCACCAAGUGACGCAGCAGGGGUCUCGGACCAGGAAGACCUGGGGGUGUGCAGCCCCCUGAUAGCCAGGGCCAUCUCCAGAAAAGAGGAAGAGCUGCAAGUGCCGUCAGUGAUCCCCUCCAGGCACCCAGAGCCUUAACUGAAAUACUGGAUCGUUCCCUAGAUUUUUGCUACAUUAAACUAUAUUGUCCAGUUAAAAAAAAAAAAGAGUACGAAACACCGUGGUAGAGGACAACGAUUCCUGGCUCUCCUCUGACUGCACAGCCUUUGGACAGCUUUGCCAGUGAAAGAGCUUUGUUCCAACCACCUGCCCCAGUGCAGCUGUGUCGAUGGCACGAAGCUUCGUUCCGCAGCUCCCAUUUCACAGCGGUCCCCUCUCCCCGGUCUCGUUGCGGGUCACACCAUGAUGGCUGCCCACCCCUCAGAUGGACCACAGGCUCUGGAGUUGGCUGCUCCCGAGGGGAGCCAGGUGGCGACUUUUGAGAAGGACCAGAACAGACCUCCUCGGGCCACGCAGCUGCAAGUGGCACAGUGACCCAGCUGCUCGCUUGCAACCAGCGACUUUCCCAAACCAGCUGCUGCUUCAGCUUCCUUUGUGAUCGGGCCAGUUUCUAAAUUGGGUAACGGUCAAGAGGCAUGGUCUGUGAUGUCAUGUAUGUAAAAAUCUGUUUCUCGUUGGAGUUACAAAAGUAAUGACAACACGAGCUUUCGCAGGGCCGAGCUCACUUUGUUCUGAUCGCUGCCACCGGCGUAGGGGGUCCAGGGUGGUGGGUGGAUGAAGCCCACCUCUGCCCGAAGCAUCCAGCCGGGCUGUGCAUCCACUUCCUGGUCGGAGAAACGGAACUAACAAGCAGAAUCCAACUUCUCUUUAUUGUUUGCUAUGAAGAGUGGUCUGAUUUAAACAUUACUCGAAGGCCCCUGCUUAUUUUACCAAGCACAAUGUCCUCAACGUUCCUCCAUGUUGUAUCAGCUCCAACGUUCCUGCGAGGAGAAUGACAGCAAACACCAUCUCCCGCCAAGACAUCUUGCGUGUCUGGGGUUUUCUGUUGAGCUUUGGAUGCCGGGGCAUCGAGGAAACAUUGCCAGACGCGUCCCCCUCUCUGGCCUCCCCACAGGGGUGGGGCUUCCAGGGCAGCUCCCAGAGGCGAGAUGGCCAGUUCAGGAAUUUCCUUGGCGCCUCGAGGCACCCCCUGGGCAGCUGUUGUACAACAAGAAUUUGGCAUCUUUGUCUCCGGUUCCUGCUCCACCCCUCAGACCACACCUGAGUUUAUGCUAAUGAGGAACUCCAGGCGCUGGAAACUCAGAUGGGCGUCUGGAUCAGCGACUCACGUGGCUGUGCUGAUGGGCGGAGGGCGCACCCGAGGGCCCUCCCGGACCUCACCUGUAGUCAUCAGGACCUGCUUUCCUGAGUUCCCUCCCACCCUGGGCCCAGGAGUCACCGGCGCCCUUGGGCGAUUCCUACGGGGUCAAGUUUGAGCAGCUCGGCCCUAGAGGCAGCAGCCUCAGGGCAUCUCGAGGGCUGCACGGUCCGACCUCAGGCAGACACUGUGCACUGCCAGAAAGAAAAGGAUCUGCUUGGAGGACCAUGAGGCCCAGGCUGGAGCUCGUCCUGCCCACGAACCUCGCUGUGCAGUGUGCACAUGUUAGCUCUAUUCAGAUCCAUCUCCUUCCCUUCCGGUCGCCAUCUCAGGGCUUCCCUGGUGGCGCAGUGGUUAAGAAUCCGCCUGCCAAUGCAGGGGAUACGGGUUCGAGCCCUGAUCCAGGAAGAUCCCACGUGCUGAGGAGCAACUAAGCCUGUGAGCCACAACUACUGAGCCCACGCCCCUAGAGCCCGUGCUCCACAACAAGAGAAGCCACCGCGAUGAGAGGACCAUGCACCGCAACGAAUAGUAGCCCCCGCUUGCCGCAACUAGAGAAAGCCCAUGUGCAGCAAAGACCCAGUGUAGACAAAAAUAAAUAAAGAAAAAAGAAAUCUCAGCUUUAAAAAAAAAAAAAUUCGCUCUGAAAACAGCAUUUGGUGGCAUGAAGCUUUGUCUAUUUCCCUGCAAUAAACCCACAUUUUACUUUUG